UCACCAUUAGUCUAUUUGGACGCCAAAGAAGCUGUGUUUAUUAUUAAGCUGCUGAUCUGACCUCCAUUGCUAGAAGAAUGGAUCGUUUCUCAAGACGAUUGUUGAUCGCGGCCAUGUGUCUGGCUGUCAGUGUCCCCGGCGCGACAGGUCUCCAGUGCCUUUCCUGUCAGUACAUCAAAUUAGGGUCAUCGGAAAAAAUCGUGGAAGCAGCUUUUUCCAGUUUGAUAUCAAAGUCUAACGACGAAUGCCAGGGAAGUGUGAGCGAAGCCACCCCAGGGGUCACUGUUCAAAACUGCUCGCCUGUGAUAGGACUGAAGGCGAUGUGUGGAAAACUGGACACCACGGUUUAUGCCUCUGCCUC